rnacentral:rRNA from 1 species
GACGUAGGGCGCGAGCGUUGUCCGGAUUUAUUGGGCGUAAAGAGCUCGUAGGCGGCUUGUUGCGUCGACUGUGAAAACCCGCGGCUUAACUGCGGGCUUGCAGUUGAUACGGGCGGGCUAGAGUUCGGUAGGGGAGACUGGAAUUCCUGGUGUAGCGGUGAAAUGCGCAGAUAUCAGGAGGAACACCGGUGGCGAAGGCGGGUCUCUGGGCCGAUACUGACGCUGAGGAGCGAAAGCGUGGGGAGCGAACAGG